GACAGAGGGUGCAAACGUUGUUCGGAAUUACUGGGCGUAAAGCGCGUGUAGGCGGCUAAGUAAGUCGGGCGUGAAAUCCCACGGCUCAACCGUGGAAGUGCACUCGAAACUGCAUAGCUAGAGUCCUGGAGAGGAAGGUGGAAUGCUUGGUGUAGAGGUGAAAUUCGUAGAUAUCAAGCGGAACACCGGUGGCGAAGGCGGCCUUCUGGGACAGUGACUGACGCUGAGACGCGAAAGCGUGGGGAGCAAACAGG
rnacentral:rRNA from 1 species